GGGUGAGUGAGCAGGCACCCUGACCCUCCGUCCGGGGCGGCCCUCUCCUACCAAAGGGUCCGAACGAGAACUAUGUGGGCUGCCUGUAGGCAACACUAUAGGAACUGGCUCUCACAGCCACAGUGACCCUCGGGGCUAUGCGGCCGCUCGAGGAUUUAAACCCGCACCCCCUCUGGCUCCUGCACUGCAUCCGUCUCCAAAGCAAGGGCUCGGUCCUGUCCAUCUCUGCCCUCCAGUGUUCUGCCCGAGACCCAGCAAACAGGAGGCACUGACACGUGACGCCGUGUGGAUGAACCUGGAAAGCAUCCUGGGAAGUGAGAAGCCAGAUCCCAAAGGCCGCGCCUUGUAGGAUUCCUUUUGCGUGAAAUGUCGGGACUGGGCAAGUCCAGAGACAGAAAGCAGGCUGGUGGC